rnacentral:lncRNA from 1 species
AGCCAUUCGCUUUUCAUUAGAAGAAAGAAGACCGCCAUCCGCUUGAGAGCAAAACUCCAGUGACUGAAGAGCUGUAGAUCUUCUGAAUUUCGAGAGCAGUGAAGUAGGACCAUAGCAGAGGGUGUAUGAAAGACAACACGUUGGAAGGAAGAUUGUUGCAGACAAAAGCAACAUGAUUCAGGCCUGGAAACUGAGUUUUGGAAGGAUUCAGUAUCGGACAAACAUCACUCCAGGGGAACACAGCAGAGGUGUAGUUCCAGCCUAUCUGUCCAGCUCUAGUCCAACCUUCUCUGCUGUCCAUGGUUUUGAAAGUCUUCUGCUCCGGGUGACCAGCAUAGAAAGCUCUUGCUAGCUGGUGAUGGAAGUGUGCUGGAGCAAUGGGAGAAGCUGGUAACUUCUAGGAAGCCAAGAUGACCAGAAUUGUUUUAGAUCAUCAGUAAGUAAAAUUUUCUUAGCCCAUUGGAAGUCUUUUGAUUACCAGUAAACGUUCUCUGAGAAACCACAGUAAAAGAGUAGCUCAAUCAAACAGCUAAAAAGUCUGAAUGAGAAAAUGUUUAAAAAAUAAAUAUCCAGACACUUCAAAAAAU